rnacentral:rRNA from 1 species
UACGUAGGGUGCGAGCAUUAAUCGGAAUUACUGGGCGUAAAGCGUGCGCAGGCGGUUAUUUAAGUCAGGUGUGAAAGCCCUGGGCUUAACCUAGGAAUUGCGCUUGAGACUGGAUAGCUUGGAGUGCGGCAGAGGGAGGUGGAAUUCCACGUGUAGCAGUGAAAUGCGUAGAGAUGUGGAGGAACACCGAUGGCGAAGGCAGCCUCCUGGGCCAGCACUGACGCUCAUGCACGAAAGCGUGGGGAGCAAACAGG